rnacentral:lncRNA from 9 species
CACUGAUUUACUUGAGAACUGGAGAGGAUGAACAAAUUGCUCAACUCUGGAAGAUCUAGGAUUCCAAAUCUUAUGCUGAAGAGUGGGCUGUUGCAGCUAGGAGAACUUCAAGGUCAUCUGCAAUAUGGCCACAACUCUCAUAGACUCCACAGGCCUUGUGAUGGAUGACCAGUCCUCAGCUGAUGAAGAGGGGGAGGUGCUCUCAGUGACAAGGGGAUGAAAGGUCUUGGUUCCACGAGGGUCCAUUCUGGAAGAAGAGGACCGUGCCAAUGGCAGGUACCCACAGAAGCAUCCAAGUUACCUGGAGGUGGGUGAGGGCUGGGUUAUCACUGAUCCAUGAUUCAGUGAAUAUUUAC